GAUGAAGAACGCAGCGAAAUGCGAUAAGUAAUGUGAAUUGCAGAAUUCAGUGAAUCAUCGAAUCUUUGAACGCACAUUGCGCCCCCUGGUAUUCCGGGGGGCAUGCCUGUCCGAGCGUCAUUACAACCCUCAAGCUCAGCCUGGUGUUGGGCCCCGCCGCCCCGGCGGGCCCUAAAGUCAGUGGCGGUGCCGUCCGGCUCCGAGCGUAGUAAUUCUUCUCGCUCUGGAGGUCCGGUCGUGUGCUCGCCAGCAACCCCCAAUUUUUUUCAGGUUGACCUCGGAUCAGGUAGGGAUACCCGCUGAACUUAAGCAUAUCAAUAAGCGGAGGA
rnacentral:misc_RNA from 1 species